rnacentral:pre_miRNA from 9 species
UCUUGAGAGCGUAAAAGUAAACUCUAAUUUGUAUGCAGUUGGAACGUCUGCCCACGUUUGCCGCUAGGGGCGCUGUUCUAACUGCAAACAAAUUUGAACUAACUUUUACGCUAUUUA